rnacentral:rRNA from 1 species
CAAUAGCGUGUAUUAAAGCUGUUGCGGUUAAAAAGCUCGUAGUUGGAUUUCUGUCAAGGACAACUGGUCCGCCCCUCGGGUGAGCACAUAGUUUGGUCUUGGCAUCUUGUUGGAAACUGUUGCUGCACUUGGUUGUGUGGCGCAGUGUCCAGCACUUUCACUUUGAGGAAAUUGGAGUGUUUCAAGCAGGCACAUGCCUUUGGACACAGUAGCAUGGAAUAAUUAGAUUGGGCUUUUGCUCCAACUUGUCGGUUUCUGGAGCUGAGGUGAGAAUUAAUGGGGAUUGUUGGGGGCAUCCGAAUUUAGCCGUCAGAGGUGAAAUUCUUGGAUCUGCUAAAGACGGACAACUGCGAAAGCGUUUGCCCAGGAUGUUUUCAUUGA